rnacentral:rRNA from 1 species
UACGUAGGGUGCAAGCGUUGUCCGGAAUUAUUGGGCGUAAAGAGCUCGUAGGCGGUCUGUUGCGUCGGCUGUGAAAACCCGAGGCUCAACCUCGGGCCUGCAGCCGAUACGGGCAGACUAGAGUUCGGCAGGGGAGACUGGAAUUCCUGGUGUAGCGGUGAAAUGCGCAGAUAUCAGGAGGAACACCGGUGGCGAAAGCGGCUCACUGGAUCGAAACUGACGCUGAGGUGCGAAAGCUAGGGUAGCAAACGGG